rfam:Loxodonta africana unplaced genomic scaffold scaffold_6, whole genome shotgun sequence.
GGUGUAAUGGUUAAGCACUCAACUGCUAACUGAAAGGUUGGUGGUUGGAACCCACCUUGCACCC